rnacentral:rRNA from 1 species
UACGUAGGGUGCAAGCGUUGUCCGGAAUUAUUGGGCGUAAAGAGCUCGUAGGCGGUUUGUCGCGUCUGCUGUGAAAACUCGGGGCUUAACCCCGGGCCUGCAGUGGGUACGGGCAGACUAGAGUGCGGUAGGGGAGACUGGAAUUCCUGGUGUAGCGGUGAAAUGCGCAGAUAUCAGGAGGAACACCGGUGGCGAAGGCGGGUCUCUGGGCCGAUAUCGACGCUGAGGAGCGAAAGCGUGGGGAGCGAACAGG